CAAGUGCCCAGAGAUGAAGAAC
rnacentral:siRNA from 1 species